GAUCAAAAUGGCUUCCACUCAACCAAUCUACUCCUGUCCAAUUCAGACUAAUGCUGCUUUUAGCGUUCAUCCCCUCCAUGCUGGGUCACUCUUCUCCCCUCUCUCUUUCUGGUGCCCUCCUCUCUCUCUCUCCCCCUCUCUCUCCUCCGUGACAUGCCUGACUCUUCACCAGAUUAAGACUGUGCCUCUGGCUCCUCAAUUUCAUUACCUAGCUCUCCGCUCGGGCCUCAGACGCCAUGGUGAUCAACUCGUAUUGGCCAAUCACUGAAGGAGGCCCUUCAAACCCAGACGAGUGACAGUAGCCUAUACAGUGCAGUGAUUGCGAUGUAAUGGCAGAGAGAGAGUUGGAUGCUAAUGGGCAUCUAACAUGACCGAACAUAAUUCACCUCCCAUGAGCCCGCUGCAGGAUUCUAAGAUGGCAAACAGUAAUUCCAGCAGGAUUAGAGCUGGGCAGCAGAGAGGUCAUACUGAGGAAAGUCCCCUCUCAGCAAAGCUCAUUAAAAACCCCAGUGUGGGGAGUGGAGCGACACAGUCCUCAGAAUGAA